AACGAACGCUGGCGGCAUGCCUAACACAUGCAAGUCGAACGCCUGUAGCAAUACAGGAGUGGCAGACGGGUGCAUAACACGUGGGAACCUACCCUUGGGUUCGGAAUAACCGCGGAAAACUGCGGCUAUUACCGGAUACGUCCUCUGGGAGAAAGAUUCAUCGCCCUUGGAGGGGCCCGCGUCGGAUUAGCUAGUUGGUGAGGUAACGGCUCACCAAGGCGACGAUCCGUAGCUGAUCUGAGAGGGUGAUCAGCCACACUGGAACUGAGACACGGUCCAGACUCCUACGGGAGGCAGCAGUGGGGAAUAUUGGACAAUGGGGGCAACCCUGAUCCAGCAAUGCCGCGUGGGUGAUGGAGGCCUUCGGGUUGUAAAGCCCUUUUGGCAGGGACGAUGAUGACGGUACCUGCAGAAUAAGCCCCGGCUAACUUCGUGCCAGCCGCCGCCGUAA
rnacentral:rRNA from 1 species